rnacentral:rRNA from 1 species
UACCAGACUCCUACGGGAGGCAGCAGUCGGGAAUAUUGCACAAUGGAGGAAACUCUGAUGCAGUGACGCCGCGUGCAGGAAGAAGGUUUUCGGAUUGUAAACUGCUUUAGACAGGGAAGAAACAAGACAGUACCUGUAGAAUAAGCUCCGGCUAACUACGUGCCAGCAGCCGCGGUAAUACGUAGGGGGCAAGCGUUAUCCGGAUUUACUGGGUGUAAAGGGAGCGUAGACGGCAGCGCAAGUCUGGAGUGAAAUGCCGGGGCCCAACCCCGGAACUGCUCUGGAAACUGUGAAGCUGGAGUGCAGGAGAGGUAAGCGGAAUUCCUGGUGUAGCGGUGAAAUGCGUAGAUAUCAGGAGGAACACCGGCGGCGAAGGCGGCUUACUGGACUGUAACUGACGUUGAGGCUCGAAGGCGUGGGGAGCAAACAGGAUUAGAUACCCCGGUAAA